AGUCGUAACAAGGUUUCCGUAGGUGAACCUGCGGAAGGAUCAUUACCGAGUGUAGGGUUCCUAGCGAGCCCAACCUCCCACCCGUGUUUACUGUAACCUUAGUUGCUUCGGCGGGCCCGCCUUUAAGGCCGCCGGGGGGCAUCAGCCCCCGGGCCCGCGCCCGCCGGAGACACCACGAACUCUGUCUGAUCUAGUGAAGUCUGAGUUGAUUGUAUCGCAAUCAGUUAAAACUUUCAACAAUGGAUCUCUUGGUUCCGGCAUCGAUGAAGAACGCAGCGAAAUGCGAUAACUAGUGUGAAUUGCAGAAUUCCGUGAAUCAUCGAGUCUUUGAACGCACAUUGCGCCCCCUGGUAUUCCGGGGGGCAUGCCUGUCCGAGCGUCAUUGCUGCCCAUCAAGCACGGCUUGUGUGUUGGGUCGUCGUCCCCUCUUCGGGGGGGACGGGCCCCAAAGGCAGCGGCGGCACCGCGUCCGAUCCUCGAGCGUAUGGGGCUUUGUCACCCGCUCUGUAGGCCCGGCCGGCGCUUGCCGAACGCAAAACAACCAUUCUUUCCAGGUUGACCUCGGAUCAGGUAGGGAUACCCGCUGAACUUAAGCAUAUCAAU
rnacentral:misc_RNA from 1 species